rnacentral:rRNA from 1 species
UUGUGCUAAGGUAGCAUAAUCAUUUGUCUUUUAAUUAAAGACUAGAACAAAAGAUUUAACAAUUCAACAAAUUUAUUAUAAUUAACCAUAUUAAUUUAUUUUAAAUGUAAAAAAACAUUUAUAYAACAGGAAGACGACAAGACCCUUUUAAACUUCACUAUAGUUAAACUGGGGCAGUUAAUNAAAUAUYAYUUUAAUAAAAAUAUAAACAUAAAAGAUCCAAUACAAUUGAUUAUAUGAUCAAGUUACUANAGGGAUAACAGCGUUAUAUAUAUCUAAAGAUCUUAUUUAAAUAAAAACUUGCGACCUCGAUGUUGAAUUAAUAUCCUAAAUUACUGCAACAAGU